rnacentral:lncRNA from 1 species
UAUUUUUUGUUUCGUUUGCCUUCCUUGCCUCUUGUGGAUCUUUGUUUUAACAUGUCUAAUGUUUUUAUAGAUAUAGAGAAAGUGAUGAUCCCAUCUUGUGCAUUUUGUAUUUACAUGCAAAUUCUAUAUAAUGCACAUCUCCUGGGGGAGCUAUCCUAUUUUCUUUAGAACACUCUCUUUACACGCCCAUCAUAAAAUCUUUUGAUCCCCAUCAAGUGUGUGUUGCUGAGAGGCAAGUUUUGCUCUUUAUGAUGCUUUGUUCCAUAAUAAAAAUUUGUCGAGG